CAGCGGCGGACGGGUGAGUAAUGCCUAGGAAUCUGCCUGGUAGUGGGGGACAACGUUUCGAAAGGAACGCUAAUACCGCAUACGUCCUACGGGAGAAAGCAGGGGACCUUCGGGCCUUGCGCUAUCAGAUGAGCCUAGGUCGGAUUAGCUAGUUGGUGAGGUAAUGGCUCACCAAGGCGACGAUCCGUAACUGGUCUGAGAGGAUGAUCAGUCACACUGGAACUGAGACACGGUCCAGACUCCUACGGGAGGCAGCAGUGGGGAAUAUUGGACAAUGGGCGAAAGCCUGAUCCAGCCAUGCCGCGUGUGUGAAGAAGGUCUUCGGAUUGUAAAGCACUUUAAGUUGGGAGGAAGGGCAGUAAGCUAAUACCUUGCUGUUUUGACGUUACCGACAGAAUAAGCACCGGCUAACUCUGUGCCAGCAGCCGCGGUAAUACAGAGGGUGCAAGCGUUAAUCGGAAUUACUGGGCGUAAAGCGCGCGUAGGUGGUUCGUUAAGUUGGAUGUGAAAGCCCCGGGCUCAACCUGGGAACUGCAUCCAAAACUGGCGAGCUAGAGUACGGUAGAGGGUGGUGGAAUUUCCUGUGUAGCGGUGAAAUGCGUAGAUAUAGGAAGGAACACCAGUGGCGAAGGCGACCACCUGGACUGAUACUGACACUGAGGUGCGAAAGCGUGGGGAGCAAACAGGAUUAGAUACCCUGGUAGUCCACGCCGUAAACGAUGUCAACUAGCCGUUGGAAUCCUUGAGAUUUUAGUGGCGCAGCUAACGCAUUAAGUUGACCGCCUGGGGAGUACGGCCGCAAGGUUAAACUCAAAUGAAUUGACGGGGCCCGCACAGCGGUGGAGCAUGUGGUUUAUU
rnacentral:rRNA from 1 species